CCAGCCCCUCCCCUGCCUCCCCGAUGUUGCCGCCCUUUCCUCGCACCGGCGGCACACAAGAUUCCGGUCACCGAAGAGCCCGAGUCGCCACUGGAGAUCCUGGGAAGGGCAAGAGAAACCAAGCUCGGCAUGCUCGCGGAAGGCCAGACGGCGGUGAGCUAGAAGCCGACUGAGGUCUCCAUCUGAUUCGCGGUGCGGCCAACGCUCGCGUGUUGGAAGGCUCCGCGGCGCUGGAAUCCUCCUCCCGCGGGACAAGAGCCGGUGAAUCUUAGCAAGCGCAGAGGGAUGCCGGCGAGGAUGCCCUGCUCUGGUCCUAUCGCUUCCGCGCCUCUCCAACGCUUAAAGGCUCAAAUGAUUCCAUGAGCUGUUGAUGGUACUGGUACAACUAUUAAUCAUAGGAUGCAGCUUUAUUCAGGUCCACUAUCAACAUUUUAAAUGUUGAUGAUUUGUCGGAUGGCAAAAUUUGAGGAGGUACUGUGGAAGAUGAAAAUGGCAAUAUUGCAUGCGACACAAGGAAGAUAAUGAUGUCCUUGUCCAGUAUAUAUAAGAUCAUGAGGGGAACACUGACCUAUUUGUGUCAUGAGGGAAACAUGAUCAAUAGUAGAGGAUUGGGGUACAUCCAUGUUAAGAACGUGAGCUUCAGAUUUCUUCUGGAGUCUGUCCUGCCGUUGUUUCUUGCGGCAUAUCAGUUCCAUCUGGCAUACAACAGGAAAUCAUGAACCCAUAAAUUAGAAACAGGUACUCCGCUUUCUUCUCAUCAAACAAUCGGGCAUACCAGCUCAGUUUCUUUUCUGACUGUACACUCGAGGUGCAACAACAGGUCGUGGUUGAUCUGCCCAACUACAUCAGGAGAACAUGAGCAAACUUAUCCGAAGAUACAUCCUUUGGGUUUCGUCCAAGUGUGGCAUGCAAAUUUUGAAGCAACCGGUAACUGCUUUACAGUUGGUAAAUUCAUGUUCUAGUAUUAUGGAGAUAGUAUGUAAAUAGAUGCAGCAACACUGAAACUGGCUUAAUGUAAAUUCAAGUUAAAUUUAUUUGUACCCACAUGUGCAUGUAUCCUUGGCGGUUGUGGCACUUGGUUCUUCGACGACGUCUGGGCAACUUGCUUUCUCAAC